AUACGGAGGAUGCAAGCGUUAUCCGGAUUUAUUGGGUUUAAAGGGUGCGUAGGCGGUUUGCUAAGCGGGAGGUGAAAUGCCGGCGCUCAACGUCGGAAGUGCCUCCCGAACUGGUGGACUUGAAUGACUCUGCCGUGGGAGGAAUGUGUAGUGUAGCGGUGAAAUGCUUAGAGAUUACACUGAACACCGAUUGCGAAGGCAUCUCACGAAGGGUUGAUUGACGCUGAGGCACGAAAGCGUGGGGAUCAAACAGGAUUAGAUACCCUGGUAGUCCACGCAGUAAACGAUGAUGGCUAACCGCUGGAUCCAUCGGUUCAGUGGCCAAGCGAAAGCGAUAAGCCAUCCACCUGGGGAGUACGACCGCAAGGUUGAAACUCAAAUGAAUUGACGGGG
rnacentral:rRNA from 1 species